rnacentral:rRNA from 3 species
AGCUUGCUGGGGGAUUAGUGGCGAACGGGUGAGUAACACGUGAGUAACCUGCCCUUGACUCUGGGAUAAGCCUGGGAAACUGGGUCUAAUACCGGAUAUGACUCCUCAUCGCAUGGUGGGGGGUGGAAAGCUUUUGUGGUUUUGGAUGGACUCGCGGCCUAUCAGCUUGUUGGUGGGGUAAUGGCCUACCAAGGCGACGACGGGUAGCCGGCCUGAGAGGGUGACCGGCCACACUGGGACUGAGACACGGCCCAGACUCCUACGGGAGGCAGCAGUGGGGAAUAUUGCACAAUGGGCGCAAGCCUGAUGCAGCGACGCCGCGUGAGGGAUGACGGCCUUCGGGUUGUAAACCUCUUUCAGUAGGGAAGAAGCCGUGAGGUGACGGUACCUGCAGAAGAAGCGCCGGCUAACUACGUGCCAGCAGCCGCGGUAAUACGUAGGGCGCAAGCGUUAUCCGGAAUUAUUGGGCGUAAAGAGCUCGUAGGCGGUUUGUCGCGUCUGCUGUGAAAGACCGGGGCUCAAC